rnacentral:rRNA from 1 species
GAUGAACGCUGGCGGCGUGCCUAAUACAUGCAAGUCGAGCGAACGGACGAGAAGCUUGCUUCUCUGAUGUUAGCGGCGGACGGGUGAGUAACACGUGGAUAACCUACCUAUAAGACUGGGAUAACUUCGGGACACCGUAGCUAAUACCGGAUAAUAUUUUGAACCGCAUGGUUCAAAAGUGAAAGACGGUCUUGCUGUCACUUAUAGAUGGAUCCGGGCUGCAGUAGCUAGUUGGUAAGGUAACGGCUUACCAAGGCAACGAUGCAUAGCCGACCUGGGAGGGUGAUCGGCCACACGGGAACUGAGACACGGUCCAGACUCCUACGGGAGGCAGCAGUAGGGGAUCGUCCGCAAUGGGCGAAAGCCUGACGGAGCAACGCCGCGUGAGUGAGGAAGGUCUUCGGAUCGUAAAACUCUGUUAUUAGGGAAGAACAUAUGUGUAAGUAACUGUGCACAUCUUGACGGUACCUAAUCAGAAAGCCACGGCUAACUACGUG